AUUGAACGCUGGCGGCAUGCCUUACACAUGCAAGUCGAACGGCAGCGGGGGUAGCUUGCUACCUGCCGGCGAGUGGCGAACGGGUGAGUAAUACAUCGGAACGUGCCCUGUAGUGGGGGAUAACUAGUCGAAAGACUAGCUAAUACCGCAUACGACCUGAGGGUGAAAGUGGGGGACCGCAAGGCCUCAUGCUAUAGGAGCGGCCGAUGUCUGAUUAGCUAGUUGGUGGGGUAAAGGCCCACCAAGGCGACGAUUAGUAGCUGGUCUGAGAGGACGAUCAGCCACACUGGGACUGAGACACGGCCCAGACUCCUACGGGAGGCAGCAGUGGGGAAUUUUGGACAAUGGGGGCAACCCUGAUCCAGCAAUGCUGCGUGUGUGAAGAAGGCCUUCGGGUUGUAAAGCACUUUUGUCCGGAAAGAAAUCGCACUGGUUAAUACCUGGUGUGGAUGACGGUACCGGAAGAGUAAGGACCGGCUAACUACGUGCCAGCCGCCGCAGUAA
rnacentral:rRNA from 1 species